rnacentral:lncRNA from 1 species
AUGAUCGAGUCCACCCCACCCAAGCUUGUUGAUGCUUUAGCAACUGUUCUUCCCCAUCGCUGCAUCUCCUUUCACAUGGGACUUCUUCCGGCAGAAGCUGCAGAUUGCAGACGCCCAGCUAAAAGCCAAGGAGUUUGCUGUACCCCAGGAGGAGCAAGCAAUGACCUUCAGUGACAGCGUUGUCUGGCAGCGGAGAAAAGGCAUCCCAGCACCGAGCACCAAAGCCAGCAGUGGUGCUGAUGACACAGGAGGUAUAAAACCAGAAGGUACCACCUCCAGCCCCAAAACCUCGCAGCAGAGAAACCGCCUUACUCUAGUCCUUCCCGUUGCAGAAGGCUACCUGCCAAAGUACUACCCUGCCACCGAGCUGGCGGCGAUCCAGGCAGAGGCAUCGGAGAGGCCGCGGGCUCUCGCUGAGCUGGGGAACGAGCCGUCUUGUUGCCAACAUCUUCCAGCUGCUGCUCAGACUGCUGGAACAGCAGGGAUGUUUCUGCGCAAGCAGAAGCUGAUCCCGGUCUGGCCCACCUACUGGCAAUUCGCCAUGGAGACGUCCCGGGCAAGGCAGCAUGAUGCUCAGCAAAACAAGAACAUGAGCCUGAGCUCAUCUGCUUUGUUGGAAGGAACUGGGUGUCCGAGUACAAGGACAACUACAGCGUUUUCUCGCAGAGGCUGGACCAGUCAUCUCCAGUGCCUGCUGUGGGGCUGUGCACUGUGCUGUCCUUUGGGGAAGGGACUGCCAUAGACACAGCCCAGUGAGUGGUGCUACAGGUGGCCGUGCACAGCUCACUGAAAGCCACUGUUUCUCAGAAGGCUGCAAGGACAUUCAAAGGCUGACCCUCAGACUCAUCACCAAGAAAUCAACUUUUCCUCUUGCUUUGAUGAAAAUUCUUCCUGUGGCCACCACCCAACCCACAAUUAUGCAAUAAAUCAUUCAGCAGGUGCUUAACA